rnacentral:rRNA from 2 species
AGGUGUGAUCAUACCAACACUAAUGCACCAGAACUCAUCAGAACUCCGCAGUGAAGCGUGCUUGGGCAAUAGUAGUUUAAGGAUGGGUGACCUCUAGGGAAGUCCUCGUGUUGCACCUU